rnacentral:rRNA from 1 species
UAGGGAAUCUUCGGCAAUGGGGGCAACCCUGACCGAGCAACGCCGCGUGAGUGAAGAAGGUUUUCGGAUCGUAAAGCUCUGUUGUAAGAGAAGAACGUGUGUGAGAGUGGAAAGUUCACACAGUGACGGUAACUUACCAGAAAGGGACGGCUAACUACGUGCCAGCAGCCGCGGUAAUACGUAGGUCCCGAGCGUUGUCCGGAUUUAUUGGGCGUAAAGCGAGCGCAGGCGGUUUAAUAAGUCUGAAGUUAAAGGCAGUGGCUUAACCAUUGUUCGCUUUGGAAACUGUUAAACUUCAGUGCAGAAGGGGAGAGUGGAAUUCCAUGUGUAUCGGUGAAAUGCGUAGAUAUAUGGAGGAACACCGGUGGCGAAAGCGGCUCUCUGGUCUGUAACUGACGCUGAGGCUCGAAAGCGUGGGGAGCAAACAGG